rnacentral:misc_RNA from 1 species
GAUGAAGAACGCAGCGAAAUGCGAUAAGUAAUGUGAAUUGCAGAAUUCAGUGAAUCAUCGAAUCUUUGAACGCACAUUGCGCCCAUUAGUAUUCUAGUGGGCAUGCCUGUUCGAGCGUCAUUAAGUCCACUUAAGCCCUGCUUAGUGUUGGGAGACUGCUCCAGCGGUGCUACCCUGUAGCUACCCUGCAGCUCCUCAAAGACAGCGGCGGAGUUGUGGUAUCCUCUGAGCUUAGUAACUUGUUCUAGCUUUCGAGUACACCAGUUCCCCUGCCGUAAAACCCUUAAUUUUUAAUGGUUGACCUCGGAUCAGGUAGGAAUACCCGCUGAACUUAAGCAUAUCAAUAAGCGGAGGA